GCCUACAUGAAGCCGGAGUUACUAGUAAUCGCAGAUCAGAAUGCUGCGGUGAAUGCGUUCCCGGGUCUUGUACACACCGCCCGUCACACCACGGAAGUUGGGGCGCCCGAAGCCACUUAGCUAACCCUUUGGGAAGCGAGUGUCGAAGGUGAAAUCAAUAACUGGGGUGAAGUCGUAACAAGGUAUC
rnacentral:rRNA from 1 species